rnacentral:SRP_RNA from 2 species
GCCAGGCGCGGUGGCUCACGCCUGUAAUCCUGGCACUUUGGGAGGCCGAGGUGGGUGGUUCACUUGAGGCCAGGAGUUCAUUCAGGACUAGCCUGGCCAACAUGGUGAAACCCCAUCUCUA